UUUCUUCUUGCCUUCCUCAAUCAUCUGCUUCAUCAUCAAUAUCAUCAUUGUCGUCUUCUUCUUCUUCCUCUUUUUUCCAUGAUGCAAUUCACCAAUCUGAGAUUGAAGGGUUGGACAAUAUUAAGGAAAAAUAUGAAAGAAACAAGAGCCCCAUUUCAAGUUACAAUCCAAAUACUAAUAGCUGCAGCCACAAGAAACAAGACAGGCAUAGUGAUAGCUUUUCAUCAAGAACAUCUGAUAGUCUAUCGAUGUGCACAGAAGGCCUUGGAUUCGAGAGCUCUGAUGACGUUGAGGACCUAAUGAACGAUUUGAGUAUCGAGAAUCAGAAAAAACAACAAGAAGAAAAAGGGAGAACGCGCGUUCCCUGUAGGCCUGAGAAUCAAGUAAUAAUUAAUCAUGAUUAUUCAAAGAGAUCAAGAACAAACAAAGGGUCAUUUCCACCUCCCAUUUCUUGUAUAGGGAGAAGUGGGAAGCCUUGGGUUUGCUUUAAAUCAUUCAGAGAAGAUGGAAGGUUUAUUCUUAAAGAAAUUAGAAUUCCUACACAAGAAUUCUUGCAUGCAUGCAGAGAAGGUGGACGUUUAAUGAUGCAUGUUAUUCAUUCAGAUGAUGAGAUUGUAGAUGAAGGUGAAGAUGAAGAUGAAGAGGAAUACGAAGACGACGAUGAUGAUGUUGAUGAUACACAUAAUGUUGAAGAAGAACAUGAUGCAAAGCAUGUAUAGGAGUUGAACAUCGUUAAAACAUAUAUUGCAUGAAAGCUCUUUAAUUUUGUUUCAUAGUUUUUACUUUUUUGGUUUUUCCUUUGUCUGCUAUAUUCCAAAGUUGCAGGAAACCUGCAAGAUAUAGUUUAAAAGUUUUGUUUUUCUUCUUCUCUGCAGAUUCUGCAAAUAAAAGAGAAACUGCAAAAGGAAUUCUUUAUUCCAUAUUUUGAUGCAUUUUACUAUAGGAUUUUUUAUUUUUCACUUGCUACAUCCUACGUCACCCUCCUCGGCCCUUCCUGAACCAUACGGAAAUACGGGAUGCUCUGUAAAACAAGCUACCACUUGCAAACUUGUCACUACUUGUUUGGAUUAAAAAAUACCCGAAUACUGGUAGCGAGUGUCUUUAUUAUACGGACCAACUGUAAAAACAAAAAAAAUACUAUUAAUGUAGUAACUUGUUAUAGUAGCAAAUAACUUAACUACAGUUGCAGGGUUCGUUUUAUAACCGGAAUUAUUUAUCCUACUUUCAACAUGGGAUAAAUAUUCCUUGAUUGUGGUAUAAAACUUAUUCUGAUUUUAACUAAUACCCUCGACCAAAUAUAUGAUACAUUUUACACCAAAUUUUAUACCGGGGUAACCUACUUAAUCCCUCUAAUUAAAAGGCUCCUAAAUAUUUUUACUCCAUCUGUACAUAGAACUUAAAAAGAAAAAGAAGCAGCCCAGUGCACUAAGCUCCCACUAUAUGUUGGAGUCCAGGGAAAAGCCAGAUCAAGGGUCUAUUAUAUGCAGUCUUACCUUGCAUUUCUGCAAGAGGUUGUUUUCACGGCUUGAAUCCGUGACCUCCUAAUCACAUAACAGUAGCUUUACCAGUUACGCCAAAUCUCCCGUCAAUUGGGGUUUUCGGGGGGAGGGGGUUGGUGGUCUGGGAGAUAGGACAAGAGAGGUAGCUCAAAGACACAAUAAUCCUAUGUUCGGAUGAAGAUAGAUUGCAAAAUAUCUCCAACUUUUUGUAGCCGAAAGUAUUCAUAAAUGACCUAAAGAAGCCACCUAUAUUCUAAUUUCUAUAGACACAUGUAACAGUUUGAAUCACUAACUAGACAUCCUCAAAAACCUACCAAUGUCCUUAGGACCAAGAGAAGAGACACUCUAAGAAAGAACCAACGUGAGUUUACCAAAUACAAAUAUCAGUUUAUCUCAACAUCACAACGUAAAAUGGAGAAAAGUUGACAUUUGUAGAUUCAAAACUCCUUCAAAUCAGUAUAACAAACAGGACGCUUUUCCUGUGAUAAGAUUCUGUACAAUAGGGAUGCCCUUUUCAAGCGAAGAAUAUGGAGUAGAUGAGAAAAAGAUAACAAAACACAGAACCAUAUAGAACAUAAUCAUCACCAAGGGCAACCCACAAAAGAGGAAAUUUUACAAUGCCUCAUAGGCCACAGAAACUCCUUUUUUAAAGGAAUAAAUAAUUAAACUAAUACUAAUACUAACAAUAAUAAUGGGGUUUGACCAAAGAUCAGAUAUAUGCUACCCCAGGUAACACAAGUGUAGAAUCACUUUUCC
rnacentral:lncRNA from 1 species